UAUUAGUAACGAAAAUGAGUUUAUCCUCCCAAGCUUAUGGGUGGUUGUAGUGAUGGUACAAAUGUGUUAUAAUAUUUGAAGAUAAACAAAUAUAAGAAAAUAAGUUUUGCCGAGGUUCGAAAUUUAUUUGAUGAAAUACGGUCCAAGCUAUAAUAUCCCGUAUUUUUGGACUAGAAAAUUUAAUCGUCCAAUAUGAGCAAAAUUACCCGAGCCCGGAGAAUUCGAUCAUAUUCAAGGAUGAAGAUCAAGAGCUCGGUGUACAAAGAGUUUGAGGUCCCGAAAUAAUUUAAGACUUAACAAGUGUGACCACGGUGAUUGAGAAUAAUAUUUUAUGUAUAUCAAGAGGGACUAUGGACUAGCGCUAUGCCACAUAAUCAUGAUAAUGAGUAUAUGAAGAGUGUUAAAAAUAAUUUAUUACUUAAGUGAAUCGUAGUCAAGGAAUUAACUAUGUGUGUAAUUGGUUUAACGAGGGAUUGUAGUGGAAGACAAAAAAAAAUUAAAAUUAAUUGGGAUCAUUGGAUAACUAUUAGGUGGAUAUGGUCCACGUGUAUAAACAAUAAAUUGGCAGCAAAUAUUUUAGAUGUAGGACAUUGGGUAUUGUAGCAAAAGUUAGUGAUAAGUACUAAGAAAAGUUUGGCCAUGAAGGAACACGUGUCUUGCAAGACCCUUUUAAGCUCUUAUUACUUCACUUUAUUUGUUAUUUUACAUAAGAGAAUGAAAGCAGCAACACAAUUUUAUCAUUGUGAGCACUAACGUUUGCUUCAUUUUGACGGAGAUGAACAACAAUUUUUCUCUUCAACCAAAAAAAUACUAGAUUUCAGUAUUGGGGAAAAUACAAAUAAUUACAAAGAGGUUAUAUAAAUGUUGGUUUCCUCCGGAUUCUAGCAAAUUUGGGUUUUCUUCAAAGUAAAGUAAAGUGGAAGAAGAUCAUUUUUUGGUAUAUAAGAUUCCACUUGGAGGGAGACUCAGCUCGUGAGCCUAUGAAAAGAGUUGGUAUAAGGUACAGACGAUCGAUUUGCUGAUCCGCCCGCUUAGGAUCCUAUUCCGCUGUCUUGGAGUGCUCUUUUGUCCGGAGCCUAUAUUUUGGUACAGUCCUUUGCUAUUGUAUAUAUGUACGCUAUUCAGGGGCAUGACGGGGCCCUGUCCCGUCUUAUGAUUCUGUUAUGAUCUGUAGAGGUCUGUAGACAUACAUGUGGGUUCUGUAUAUGUUUUGGGUGA